rnacentral:tRNA from 1 species
CCCUGGUGGUUCACGUGGUAAAGAAUCUGCCUGCAAUGCAGGAAACCCAGGUUCAAUCCCUGGGUCAGGAA